CCUAGUCUGCAUAUACCGAGUAGAAUAGAGAGGGGAGAGGGCUAGGGUUCAGAGCACGACGAGCCAUAACUUCAACAAGCAGCGGGCGGGUCUCGGGCGGCGCGCGGGCGCUUGGUGGACGACGCUCAAGCGGAGGCGGGCAGCGCUUGGGAGUCAGGCGUGCGACCUUGCGGCUGUGCUCAGGCGGGGCGUUGCGUGAAGCGCUAGGGAGUCGGGUGUGCGACGGGCGGCGCUCGUUCCUCAGGCAUGUGCGGACGACGCUCAGACGCAUGGCUGUGUCGACCACUUGCAGACGACGCCGACACAGAUCCAGGUCCAGGUCCAGUUCAUGGAGCAUGGUUACCACCUUGGUUUGCGGCACAAUAUGCUCAUUACGCGGAGGUUGUCGCAGGUCACUAGAAUAAACAAGGGAAACCUGCUGUGCAGAAUGUUUUGCAUAAGAGAAAAUGGUUGCCCUCAAGAAAAAUGUAGGACCUUAUGUAUAAAAGGUAUCAACAAGAUGUUAAUGGGAUAAACCUCAUAUUGAGACCGCUAAGAUGAAAUGGAUUCAUGUUAAGGAGAAAUUGGUUGUCCUCAAGAAAAAUGCAGAACCUUAUGUACAAAUGGAUUGUCUUCAAAAUGUUGUUCUUGUAGCUACAACAAAGAGAAACAACAAUGGUGGUGAUGCUAUACGUGUAGAAGUAGCAAUGUUGGUCUUGUAGCUCCAAGAUUUUGUUAUUUUGUUGUUGAUGAAUGAUAUCUAUGAUAAUAUAUUGCUAAGUGUAUGUGAUGAUCAUUGGUUGUUGUUUAAUUA